rnacentral:lncRNA from 1 species
GUUAAAAUUAACAGAGGAAACGUCUUGGGCAGGGAGAAGGUAUGACUCAUCAUACAGAGGCCUGCAGCUGACUGGGGAAUUAGGGGCACUGCAGUCAUUUGAGAAUGCUCAGCCUGAGCCCCAGAGCUGUGGCAGGAAGACUGUCCUGUGAAGGGAAGGUCUGGCUCCAGCCCUUGGUGACACCAAACAGUGACGAGGCCACGUGACAAAAUGGCAGCACAAAAAUGAGAUUUAACUCCUCUCCCAGGAAAGAAAAGAAAGAAGAGAAACAGUUGAAUGAGCAUGGUAACAUGAGUGUGACCUGCAGGGGACAAUGGGAAGACUGCAGGAGGAGUACCUUCCCCUCUGUCUUGCAGAGAGCUGUCACUUCCGGAGAGGGCCGAGUAUCCUGGUCCUGUGGCAGGGGUCACUGGCGCUCUGUCCUGCCCACCAGACAUUGCUGCAGCUGGGUGACGCUACUGGUUGGAGAGGGGCAAGGGCAGAUACUUCAAGAGUGUCUUCAGGGGCAGGGGAAGCAGGAAGCUCUGGAGGCCCACAGCUCAAGGGGAAUCUGACCCCACUACGCUUCCCUGGCCACUCUGCUCAGGAAUCACCCAAGGCAGCACCUGCCCUCAUGAGGGUUCUAGACCUGGAUGCAGAGUCAUGAGGAAACUGUAGGGUUAAAGGAAAGGCAGAGCAGCAGCUGGCCAAUCUGUCCUCUGCAAAGCUGAAGAGUGGGACCACUGUUUCAAGUCAUCCAUGUGGAAAAAGGUCGGGUGGGGUAAAAAAGGAUCCGCUGGCGCUCUGCAAGUUCCGAGGCCGCCAUUGAGGAGACGACGCGACUCCAUCCUGGGUUAAACUGGCGGAUCAACGCGGAAGGCUCUGAGGAUAGGCCUAGUGUGCGGAAGGUCAUCGGCGGGAGUAGGGGUGGAGUGUUCAGCGCACCCCGGGUCUCCUGUGCCUCUGGCUCUGCUCGUUCUGCUCCCGGUACAGAGGGUCCUUGGACCCUGAGGCUGGCAUGGGAACUUUGUCCUGUUUGAUGCUGCUUUUUAAAUCUUAAAACAAGUUAUCCUAUGGAGCCCGCAGUUACUGCAAGCGGCUCGGAGACUUCCCUUUGUCUCCCCUCCUAGCGGAGCCUGCGGAUAGGGGUCGUACGCGCGGCAGCAGCGGGGCUCCAAUAGGACGCUUGGGCCAGCCCGCGGGGCGCCGGGCCGGGCCAAGGCCGCUGUCCAAGGGCCGUCCCAGGGAUGGGCAGGCCAAUGUCCUCUGGCCGGC